UACGUAGGGGGGCUAGCGUUGUCCGGAUUUAUUGGGCGUAAAGCGCACGUAGGCGGCUUGAUAAGUAAGAGGUGAAAGCCUGGAGCUCAACUCCAGAACUGCCUUUUUAGACUGUCUCGCUUGAAUCCAGGAGAGGUGAGUGGAAUUCCGAGUGUAGAGGUGAAAAUUCGUAGAUAUUCGGAAGAACACCAGUGGCGAAGGCAGCUUACUACACAGUGAUUGACACUGAGGCACGAAAGCGUGGGGAUCAAACAGG
rnacentral:rRNA from 1 species